AUAAAGGCAGUGAAGAGAAGAGUACAUGAAAUGGUCCGGCCAAGAGAGCUCCGUUGGGUGAAAGGGAGUGCGGACGGUUUGAUGGAAGAUGGCCUCUGAGCCUGGUGCGCUGAAUGAUGAAGCGGCCCGGGAGCUCCCGUUACAGAGACAGGGUAUCAAGGCAUAGUCCGGCGUACCUUAUGAGAUCGAUGAAGUGAUUCAUUGGUGAAAUUGGGUGGUAACACGGUCCUCCGUCCCUUUC
rnacentral:ncRNA from 1 species